rnacentral:hammerhead_ribozyme from 1 species
AUCUAACUGACGAGUCCCGAAUAGGACGAAACGCGCUUCCUGGAU